rnacentral:rRNA from 1 species
GACGAACGCUGGCGGCGUGCUUAACACAUGCAAGUCGAACGGAAAGGCCCCCAUCUUGGUGGGGGUGCUCGAGUGGCGAACGGGUGAGUAACACGUGGGUGAUCUGCCCUGUACUUCGGGAUAAGCUUGGGAAACUGGGUCUAAUACCGGAUAGGACCAUGGUUUAGUGUCUCAUGGAGGAAAGAUUAUUGUUUUGGUGCAGGAUGAGCUCGCGGCCUAUCAGCUUGUUGGUGGGGUAAUGGCCUACCAAGGCGUCGACCGGUGGCCGGCCUGGGAGGGUGGCCGGCCACAUUGGGACUGAGAGACGACCCAGACUCCUACGGGAGGCGGCAGUGGUGAAUAUCACCCAAUGGGAGCAAGCCUGAUGCAGCGACGCCGCGUGGGGGAUGACGGCCUUCGGGUUAUAAACUCCUUUCGUUAGGAACGAAGCCGCACUUUUUUUGGGUGUGGUGACGGUACCUUUGUUAAGAAGCACUGGCUAACUACGUG